rnacentral:rRNA from 1 species
GACGUAGGAUGCAAGCGUUGUCCGGAAUUAUUGGGCGUAAAGAGUUCGUAGGCGGUGACCUAAGUCUGAUGUUAAAGACGGGAGCUUAACUCCCGCAUGGCAUUGGAAACUGGGCCACUAGAGUGUGGUAGAGGUCUCGGGAAUUCCAGGUGUAGCGGUGAAAUGCGUAGAUAUCUGGAGGAACACCGGUGGCGAAGGCGCAUCCUGGACCGGCAUUGACGCUGAGGCG